GGGAGCCGAUCAUUCCAACUUCAG
rnacentral:siRNA from 1 species